UAAAAAAGUAAACAUGUCUAACGAGGAUUUGGAUAUUAUUGACUUCGAAGACGUAAUUAUCGAGGAAACCGAUUCCUGCGAAACUGAAGUGAAAAAUAUGUAAACACAAGCGAAGUCAGGAGAACUAUAAUAUUAACCGAGAUAUUGUAAUACUGGAGUGAUCGCCGUCAAAAAACGUACUACUGAUGAUGAUGGGCCAACAGGCGUUGUUAGCGAGGAAUUGGUGCGAAUCGAUGAACUGAUGUCGGUUAUAAGAAAAAUUCUAGAUGAUUCCCGGUUAGACCAAAUUUCAAAAAUCCUUUGUAAAAAUUGACAACGAUCACGAUGGCAUAUCAAAGUGGAAGAGAAGACAGUGGCAGAUAUGAGGCUACGAUCCUCAAGCCAAAAACAAGAAAAUACAACAACAACAACAAAGUGGAAGAUGUUUGCAACUGAUUUGGGUGUUUCUUCUGGCGAUGGUCAAACAAGUAAAAGAAAUGGUACGAAGGUCGGUUCAUUAAUAAGACAGUUUAUUAUUAAAGUGAGGUUACAGAAUAAAAAUA